UACGGAGGGUGCUAGCGUUGUUCGGAAUCACUGGGCGUAAAGGGCGUGUAGGCGGUCUGUUAAGUCUGGUGUGAAAUCCCCCCGCUCAACGGGGGAACGGCGCCGGAUACUGGCAGACUCGAGUACCGGAGAGGAAGGUGGAAUUCCCGGUGUAGCGGUGAAAUGCGUAGAUAUCAGGAGGAACACCUGUGGCGAAAGCGGCUCACUGGACCAUAACUGACGCUGAUGCACGAAAGCUAGGGGAGCAAACAGG
rnacentral:rRNA from 1 species